rnacentral:tRNA from 1 species
GGGAGGGUGGCCAAGUGGUUAAGGCAGAGGAUUGCAAAUCCUUUAUCCCCCGUUCGAUUCGGGGUCCUCCCU